rnacentral:rRNA from 1 species
UACGUAGGGUGCAAGCGUUUAAUCGGAAUUACUGGGCGUAAAGCGUGCGCAGGCGGUUGUGCAAGACAGAUGUGAAAUCCCCGGGCUUAACCUGGGAAUUGCAUUUGUGACUGCACGGCUAGAGUGUGUCAGAGGGGGGGUAGAAUUCCACGUGUAGCAGUGAAAUGCGUAGAUAUGUGGAGGAAUACCGAUGGCGAAGGCAGCCCCCUGGGAUAACACUGACGCUCAUGCACGAAAGCGUGGGGGAGCAAACAGG